rnacentral:rRNA from 1 species
AUUGAACGCUGGCGGCAUGCCUUACACAUGCAAGUCGAACGGUAACGCGGGGCAACCUGGCGACGAGUGGCGAACGGGUGAGUAAUGCAUCGGAACGUGCCCAGAAGUGGGGGGAUAGCCCGGCGAAAGCCGGAUUAAUACCGCAUGAGACCUGAGGGUGAAAGCGGGGGAUCGCAAGACCUCGCGCUUUUGGAGCGGCCGAUGUCAGAUUAGCUAGUUGGUGGGGUAAAGGCCUACCAAGGCGACGAUCUGUAGCUGGUCUGAGAGGACGACCAGCCACACUGGGACUGAGACACGGCCCAGACUCCUACGGGAGGCAGCAGUGGGGAAUUUUGGACAAUGGGCGCAAGCCUGAUCCAGCCAUGCCGCGUGC